rnacentral:rRNA from 1 species
GACGAACGCUGGCGGCGUGCUUAACACAUGCAAGUCGAACGGAAAGGCCCUGCUUUUGUGGGGUGCUCGAGUGGCGAACGGGUGAGUAACACGUGAGUAACCUGCCCUUGACCUUGGGAUAACUUCAGGAAACUGGGGCUAAUACCGGAUAGGAGCUCCUGCUGCAUGGUGGGGGUUGGAAAGUUUCGGCGGUUGGGGAUGGACUCGCGGCUUAUCAGCUUGUUGGUGGGGUAGUGGCUUACCAAGGCUUUGGCGGGUAGCCGGCCUGAGAGGGUGACCGGCCACAUUGGGACUGAGAUACGGCCCAGACUCCUACGGGAGGCAGCAGUGGGGAAUAUUGCACAAUGGGCGGAAGCCUGAUGCAGCAACGCCGCGUGCGGGAUGACGGCCUUCGGGUUGUAAACCGCUUUCGCCUGUGACGAAGCGUGAGUGACGGUAAUGGGUAAAGAAGCACCGGCUAACUACGUG